CCGCGGUGCAUUAGUUAGUUGGUGAGGUAAAGGCUCACCAAGACCGUGAUGCAUAGCCGACCUGAGAGGGUAAUCGGCCACACUGGGACUGAGACACGGCCCAGACUCCUACGGGAGGCAGCAGUAGGGAAUCUUCCACAAUGGACGAAAGUCUGAUGGAGCAACGCCGCGUGAGUGAAGAAGGUUUUCGGAUCGUAAAACUCUGUUGUUGGAGAAGAAUGUAUCUGAUAGUAACUGAUCAGGUAGUGACGGUAUCCAACCAGAAAGCCACGGCUAACUACGUGCCAGCAGCCGCGGUAAUACGUAGGUGGCAAGCGUUGUCCGGAUUUAUUGGGCGUAAAGCGAGCGCAGGCGGUUUCUUAAGUCUGAUGUGAAAGCCUUCGGCUCAACCGAAGAAGUGCAUCGGAAACUGGGAAACUUGAGUGCAGAAGAGGACAGUGGAACUCCAUGUGUAGCGGUGAAAUGCGUAGAUAUAUGGAAGAACACCAGUGGCGAAGGCGGCUGUCUGGUCUGUAACUGACGCUGAGGCUCGAAAGCAUGGGUAGCAAACAGGAUUAGAUACCCUGGUAGUCCAUGCCGUAAACGAUGAGUGCUAGGUGUUGGAGGGUUUCCGCCCUUCAGUGCCGCAGCUAACGCAUUAAGCACUCCGCCUGGAGAGUACGACCGCAAGGUUGAAACUCAGAGGAAUUGACGGGCGCCCGCACAAGCGGUGGAGCAUGUGGUUUAAUUCGAAGCAACGCGAAGAACCUUACCAGGUCUUGACAUCCUUUGACCACUCUAGAGAUAGAGCUUUCCCUUCGGGGACAAAGUGACAGGUGGUGCAUGGUUGUCGUCAGCUCGUGUCGUGAGAUGUUGGGUUAAGUCCCGCAACGAGCGCAACNUUAUUACUAGUUGCCAGCAUUUAGUUGGGC
rnacentral:rRNA from 1 species